rnacentral:rRNA from 1 species
ACGCCCCGCAAGGGGAGUGGCAGACGGGUGAGUAACGCGUGGGAAUCUACCCAAUUCUUCGGAACAACUGAGGGAAACUUCAGCUAAUACCGAAUGUGCCCUUCGGGGGAAAGAUUUAUCGGAAUUGGAUGAGCCCGCGUUGGAUUAGCUAGUUGGUGGGGUAAAGGCCUACCAAGGCGACGAUCCAUAGCUGGUCUGAGAGGAUGAUCAGCCACACUGGGACUGAGACACGGCCCAGACUCCUACGGGAGGCAGCAGUGGGGAAUAUUGGACAAUGGGCGCAAGCCUGAUCCAGCCAUGCCGCGUGAGUGAUGAAGGUCUUAGGAUUGUAAAGCUCUUUCACCGGUGAAGAUAAU